rnacentral:rRNA from 1 species
UCAGGCGGGACUACCCGCUGAGUUUAAGCAUAUCAAUAAGCGGAGGAAAAGAAACUAACAAGGAUUCCCCUAGUAACUGCGAGUGAAGCGGGAAAAGCUCAAAUUUAAAAUCUGGCGGUCCUUGUGGCUGUCCGAGUUGUAAUCUAGAGAAGUGCUAUCCGCGCUGGACCGUGUACAAGUCUCCUGGAACGGAGCGUCAUAGAGGGUGAGAAUCCCGUCUUUGACACGGACUACCAGGGCUUUGUGAUGUGCUCUCAAAGAGUCGAGUUGUUUGGGAAUGCAGCUCUAAAUGGGUGGUAAAUUCCAUCUAAAGCUAAAUAUUGGCGAGAGACCGAUAGCGAACAAGUACCGUGAGGGAAAGAUGAAAAGAACUUUGGAAAGAG